rnacentral:rRNA from 1 species
UGCCUAACACAUGCAAGUCGAACGAAGUCUUCGGACUUAGUGGCGCACGGGUGCGUAACGCGUGGGAAUCUGCCCUUAGGUACGGAAUAACUCAGGGAAACUUGUGCUAAUACCGUAUGAUGUCUUCGGACCAAAGAUUUAUCGCCUAGGGAUGAGCCCGCGUUGGAUUAGCUAGUUGGUGGGGUAAAGGCCCACCAAGGCGACGAUCCAUAGCUGGUCUGAGAGGAUGAUCAGCCACACUGGGACUGAGACACGGCCCAGACUCMUACGGGAGGCAGCAGUGGGGAAUAUUGGACAAUGGGCGAAAGCCUGAUCCAGCAAUGCCGCGUGAGUGAUGAAGGCCUUAGGGUUGUAAAGCUCUUUUACCCGGGAAGAUAAUGACUGUACCGGGAGAAUAAGCCC